UUGUGUCUAUUGAGGAGGACAUUAUCAAAGAUAGACACAACUUUAGAAGCCAGCUAUUGGCCAACGGAUUCUGUCACGCUCGGGAGCCGUGCACCAACCUCACCAACUUUUGUACUUUUUCCAGCUGUCAUUUGUUAUCGUAUUGGCACAAAGGAUCAGGUCCCCUUACAAGAUUCCUUUGUUUGUCAAAUCAAUAAAACUAAAAAUAACAUCACUAAUGCAAUAGAGAAAGAAAAUGAUGCAAGAUCAGAGAGGGC
rnacentral:lncRNA from 1 species